rnacentral:rRNA from 1 species
GACGAACGCUGGCGGCGUGCUUAACACAUGCAAGUCGAACGGAAAGGCCCUGCUUUUGUGGGGUGCUCGAUUGGCGAACGGGUGAGUAACACGUGAGUAACCUGCCCUUGACUUUGGGAUAACUUCAGGAAACUGGGGCUAAUACCGGAUAGGAGCUCCUGCGGCAUGGUGGGGGUUGGAAAUUUUCGGCGGUUGGGGAUGGACUCGCGGCUUAUCAGCUUGUUGGUGGGGUAGUGGCUUACCAAGGCUUUGACGGGUAGCCGGCCUGAGAGGGUGACCGGCCACAUUGGGACUGAGAUACGGCCCAGACUCCUACGGGAGGCAGCAGUGGGGAAUAUUGCACAAUGGGCGGAAGCCUGAUGCAGCAACGCCGCGUGCGGGAUGACGGCCUUCGGGUUGUAAACCGCUUUCGCCUGUGACGAAGCGUGAGUGACGGUAAUGGGUAAAGAAGCACCGGCUAACUACGUG